CAGUCGCCGCGGUAAUACGGAGGGUGCAAGCGUUAAUCGGAAUUACUGGGCGUAAAGCGCACGCAGGCGGUCUGACAAGUCAGAUGUGAAAUCCCCGGGCUUAACCUGGGAACUGCAUUUGAAACUGUCAGGCUGGAGUCUUGUAGAGGGGGGUAGAAUUCCAGGUGUAGCGGUGAAAUGCGUAGAGAUCUGGAGGAAUACCGGUGGCGAAGGCGGCCCCCUGGACAAAGACUGACGCUCAGGUGCGAAAGCGUGGGGAGCAAACAGGAUUAGAUACCCCAGUAGCCCUGUCUCUUAUACA
rnacentral:rRNA from 1 species